rnacentral:rRNA from 1 species
GACGAACGCUGGCGGCGUGCCUAAUACAUGCAAGUAGAACGCACAGUUUAUACCGUAGCUUGCUACACCAUAAACUGUGAGUUGCGGACGGGUGAGUAACGCGUAGGUAACCUGCCUGGUAGCGGGGGAUAACUAUUGGAAACGAUAGCUAAUACCGCAUAAUAUUGAUUAUUGCAUGAUAAUUGAUUGAAAGAUGCUAUUGCAUCACUACCAGAUGGACCUGCGUUGUAUUAGCUAGUAGGUGAGGUAACGGCUCACCUAGGCGACGAUACAUAGCCGACCUGAGAGGGUGAUCGGCCACACUGAGACUGAGACACGGCCCAGACUCCUACGGGAGGCAGCAGUAGGGAAUCUUCGGCAAUGGACGAAAGUCUGACCGAGCAACGCCGCGUGAGUGAAGAAGGUUUUCGGAUCGUAAAGCUCUGUUGUAAGAGAAGAACGGGUGUGAGAGUGGAAAGUUCACACUGUGACGGUAUCUUACCAGAAAGGGACGGCUAACUACGUG